GCUUACGGCCAUACCACCCUGAGCACGCCCGAUCUCUUCUGAUCUCGGAAGCUAAGCAGGGUCUGGCCUGGUUAGUACUUGGAUCGCAGACUGCCUAGGAAUACCAGGUGCUGUAAGCU
rnacentral:rRNA from 1 species